UACAGAGGUCCCGAGCGUUGUUCGGAUUCAUUGGGCGUAAAGGGUGCGUAGGUGGGCAGGUAAGUCAGUGGUGAAAUCUCCGGGCUCAACCCGGAAACUGCCAUUGAUACUAUCAGUCUUGAAUAUCGUGGAGGUAAGCGGAAUAUGUCAUGUAGCGGUGAAAUGCUUAGAUAUGACAUAGAACACCAAUUGCGAAGGCAGCUUACUACCCGAAUAUUGACACUGAGGCACGAAAGCGUGGGGAUCAAACAGG
rnacentral:rRNA from 1 species